UAACAGCUACUUAAGAUAGGCUGCGGCUGAUAAUGUUAAUGGAUCGUCUAGUAAGCGCCUAAGAAUUUACAAAAAAAAGCCAGACAUUCUGUCUGAUUGACUCGAUGGAUUGACUGACUUCAGUAAAAGACAAAAGUGUCAAAAUCAGAAUUUCAGAUGUUGACGAAGCGAAGUUGUUUAUAAAAUAAACUCAUAUCUUGUUAAGAAUACUUUAAUUCCGCCAAUUUCAGCUGAUAAGUUACUAACUAUCUCACUGCUGGUAACUAUCUCAUAGUUCGAUAACUCGUCCUAAUGGUUGGACUGUAUGAAUCAAAAGCUGGAAGUUAUUUAACAACUGUUAUUUUCUAUCAUAACUGAAUAAUGUCUGUGAAUUAUAUUCCUAGAGUAACACAGUUAGGGGCUGGUUAGAGGAGAAUUUCAUCAGCGACUUGCUUUAUUUGCCAGUUAGAUGCUGUGCAGUUGGACAAUCAACUUGAAGAACUUUUCAAGCAGUUGGUUUUUCAAGCAACAAAAUUCAUAGAGCCCCAGUAUGUUCAACCUAUUCUGCCCGAGUUGGAACUUUUGAUAAGAACAUGGAUUUUUAAAUAUUCUGUGUAUGACCAAAAGAGUACCUUUGGGCAACAGAUGCUCUCAUUGAAUUAUAAAUCAGAUAAUUUUGCUAGAAGUAAACUAUUCUGGUAUUAUGGUUACAAUGUUGGGCUGAAGUAUCUUAGAGAAAGAGCAAUCUACAGUUUUACUUCCAACACAAAAGUUCAGAAUUUUAUUAAUAAAUUAGAAACUUUUCAAUUGAUUGGUGAAAUACUGAACUUCUGUAGAUUCAUACAGACUGGCAAAUAUCCACUGCUCAUAGAUUUUAUAUUGGGCAUUGAGUUGUCUGCUGAGAAGUUGACUAGAGAAGACCUAACUGAUUUCUCUUGGACUAGAGAACUUUUGUGGCAUAAUUUUAUUGAAUUAAUAGGCACAUCAAUAGCAUUGAUCAACAUCUUUGGAGUAAGAAGUAAACUAUCAAACUUACUGAAGUAUGUGUGGUGGCGACAACAUGUCCGAUCAACAGCCAGUACUAUGGAGGCUGUGAUGACAUUACAGACAGUCUGUGCUUGCUGUAACAAUAAGCCAGUGCUACCUCACACUUUGGGCUGCAGCCACAUAUUUUGUUACUAUUGUAUAAUGGCGAACAAAACUGCAGAUCAAGACUAUUCUUGCCCAAAAUGCUAUUUUAAUGGAAGAGAAAUCAACAAACUUAUAAUGCCUGGCCAUCAAUAAAUGCGUACUAAGUAAAUAUUAAUGGGAAACGUGGUACUGUGAACUGUGGCUGUGUACUUUUAAAAGUUUCAUUGAGUGUCGUAAAAGCGUCUAUGGUUUAAAAAAGGUUGCCUUUGUCAUUGAGUAUUUGUUUUGUAUAUUGAUUUGAAUUACGAAUCCAAAAUUCUAUUUAAUAAAAUCUAAUCGAUCAGGAUAUAUUUGAUUGGUUCGUAGUUCGAAUCAUUUUUUUUUCAAAAGUGUUAAAGUUCGUAGUGAAUUUGUCUGAAACAAGACUUGGCACACGCUUCGAAUUUAUUCGAGACUUUCCUAAUAUCUUACGUAGUUCUUAAUUCUUUUGUAUAGAACAUAACAUUUUGUCCCUUACUAUGCCAACCAAAAAAAAAUCCAACCUUUCGCGAGUUAGCCGAGAUGCGAAAAGGAUGAGACUUAAUAGGUCUCAGGAAUCAGAAGAAGAUCGUGAAGUGCGGUUAUCUAUCAACCGAGAGAACAUUGCUCUGUCACGUGCAUCUGAAACUUUUACUGAGAGGUGCAAACGCUUAAGUUUGCUAAGAAUUCGAGCCGCGACUUUGCGCUCUCGGGAGAGCACUAAGCAACGCGAGCGACGGCUUGCAGCUGAUCGAGAUAGGCACACCCUCUCGCGCUAUUCAGAGACUUUUAUCGAAAGGGAGUUACGUUUAAGUUCGCAAAGAACUCGAGCCGCGGCUCGGCGCUCGCAAGAGAGUAUCGAAGAACGUGAAGCACGUUUAGCCUCCGACCGACAGCGUCGUGCCCUCUCGCGCCAAUCCGAAUCUCUUUCACAAAGAGGACAACGAUUAUCAAUAGCUAGAAAUAACUGUGUGGAGGCCCGAUUAAGCUAUGAAAGUUAUCUAGCAUCUGAAAGAGAAAGAAUAGUUGAGCUAAGACGAAGAGAAACAGAGGAUCAGUCUAGCCUAUUCAUUGAACGAACCCCAUACCAUAUUGACAGAGACCCGAUUGGCCUCAUAGACACGAAUAGCAGUGCAGAUGAGUCUGUGGAAUAUGGCGGAACAAUUAAAUAAAAAUUAAAGUUAAGGGGUGUUGUUAAUUUUUUAGGUGUAAUGGUACUUUUUAGAAUUAAGCAAAAUAUUGUAAAAUUAUGUACAAAGAAAUAAACGGUGGAUUGAUUGAUUGAA
rnacentral:misc_RNA from 1 species